AGACAUCCAUCGAAAGAGAUCGAAAACCCAAGAUACUUCGAAAAUGCACCCAAGAACGUAGCACAAUUUCGACCAAAAAACAGUAAUACCCCCGAAUGGAGGGUAUAUCGAUUGUGGCUGCGCUCGUAGUCGAACAAUAAGCUGGGCUUACGUUACGCUCAGGUGACUCACGAACCGAGCGAACCGCACUAAACGAGCGCUGAAGGGCGAGCGGGGGCGCUUAACUGGCGAUGUGUUUUUUUAUAUUUUUAUUGUUUUUACUGCUGACGUCUACAUGUGCCAUAUGGAGAGGCAUGUGCGAGAGUGUGCGGCAUUACGGCCUGGUAGUUCACUUGGUAGUUGGUCCCUGGUAGUUGGUAGUUAGUCGCUUGCGGCGGCCCGCUAACAAAAUGGGCAGCGUAAUGCCUCACUGGCUUCACUCCGCUCCGCUCAGCGGCUGAGCCAAGCGUUAAGCCCGAUGACUGUAUGGCUAGCCAAGUAUCCGAGUAUCCGAGUAUCUGGGUAUCAGAGUAUCUGUGUGUGUUUCAGACAACAAACCAUUUAUAUCCGGACCUGCGGCCUGUUUUGACUUUUCAUUGAAACCUGCUGCUCCACAGAGAACAAUUACUAUUUGUUUUUAACGCUCAAUUUUAAGGCUUUUUGCUUUUAGCAAAAAACUAGAUCACAAAAGUCAACCAACAAGCCAAUAUACACACAAGAGGAAAUAGAAAGAGUAAUGAAUGCAAGAAUCAGUUAAAAAGCAUAUCAAUCGACGAAAGUCUGGCAUUCAAUUAGCGCUGGACCAAAGUAAACUAAGCCGUCCAAUGAACGUCGGAAAAUGUGAAAACGUCUGAGCUGUGGGUCACGUGGUCGGAGUAAUCACUGCCCGGAGUAAUCACCUUAUGGAAUAGGGCAGCAAGACCACAGCUCAGCGACAAGCCAACAAUGGAGGCAGUAAAAGUGAGAAAGUCAUUAAAUAAUCCCACGACUUUCAACUACUGGAAAAGUCUGUUGCAACUCCCGACUGUCGACUGACGACCGACGAUAAUGAGGGGCACGGGGUACGAGAUUUGAGAAUAAUGAGCAGUGGAGACUGGGAAACAGAGAAAGAGGUAAAAAAUAAAAACACUUCCCAUCGCGUGGAGGGGAAAUGUCAAACAGUUGAUGCUAUCCAGUAAUCGGAAUAAUUCCGGGCUUCGUAUUGAAUAACACGCGCUUACAAGGAAAACCAAAACAAACAAAAGGGAGAAAUGCAAUUAUUUUUAAUUGACUUUUUUUUCAUAGUUACCCAUUCGAAUAUAUCUAAAAUUUAAAAAUGCUAGUUUGAAUGUCUCAUCUGCAUAUUUUUUUUACGUGUGCAAUUUGGUGAGUAAGCAUAGCAUUAAUCUAUAUUUUACAGGAAGAGGAAUAUUAAGGCAUGACGAAUAAUCUUAAAGUUUUAGAUUAGUAUUCUCUGAGUUCAUGACUAUACAAAUCGCAAUGCCACCUUAUUAAUAAACAUUUUUGUUAUUUACGUUUACUAUAUACAUUCGAUUAUAUAAUUAGCAGUUAUUAUGCAUAUUCAUAUAUCCAUAUAUAUGCCAGGUUUCGACAGUCGAGAUCGGAAUAUUGAUCGUAAACAAAAAUUAUAAAACUUUAUAUAAAAGGUAUUGGUAUAUUUUGUAACCCUUUAAAUUGUCUGGGUAAAUAUUUAUUAUUAUUAUGUAUUAACUAAUGUUGAUUUCGCUCUUUAUUAAAAUUGUUGUGAAAGAUAUAUAUUUUUCAUUUGCCACCAUGCAAUAAUGAAUCUACAAAAUAUUCAAUUAUAAAAUCACUGGAGCAAAGAUUAAUUCCUGUUGUUCCCCACAUUUGUUAUUAUACUUCGAUUAAAUAUAAACACAAAAGUGAAUUGUAACACCUGUGCUUAUCUGCUAUCGGCAAUAAAGCAACCCGGAUAUUGUAAGCCCAGUUGGUCACUAACUACAAAUGUUAUUCUUUGGAGGGCACUAUCAUCGGAUUAGAUAAUGUUGUCUGUGCCGCAGAGACCCAUUGAUGGUUAUGUACAUAUAAUCACGUGUUUAUCGCUGGAAUUUCCAUGAGCGUGCCUUCAUCGUGAGAGUUCUGCUGUUAUAUCGUACCAUCCACCGUCUAUAUAACACCAACCACCCCCUUCUAACCACUGGUCA